ACAGACCCAUCUCCGCUACCGGAACACACAGAAGAAGAAGAAGAAGAAAAAGAAGAAGAAGGAACGGAGGAACCUAUUCAAACCAUGCAGGAAGUAGUUGAUGAAGGAGCGGCAGCAACAGAUGAAGGAGUGGCUACAAGCGAGGAAGGAGCGGCAGCAAUGAUCGAAGGAGCGACUGCGAGAGAGGAAGAAGUGGCUGUGACUGAGGAAGGAGCAAUUGAAACAGAAGAAGCAGCUGCCGGAGAGGAAGAAACAGUUGCAAGGGAAGGAGCACGCCCAAAAGAACUAGGGGCGCGUCCAAAGGAAAGCAGAGCAGUAUCAAGAGAAAGGAAGGCAACAGUACAAACGGCCCGUGGUAUAUUGUCACCUGAUGAUUUAUACCCUGACUACACAUUCAGUGUUACAAAAGAUGCAAAGAAGGGGCCAAAGUAUCCCCCUCAACCUGAGGGAGAAUUAUUCCUACCCCUCCAGACCCAACCUUCUCUUGGAGGCGUGGAUGAUUGGAGGAAGCUCUUAUCUUGGCACCCGAGAGACUACUCGCUACCUCCACCGGCUGGGUAUCGUGAACGACAUAGAAGUCCAUCUCCACGGCGUGAACGACGUAGAAGUCCAUCUCCACGGCGUGAACGACGUAGAAGUUCAUCUCCGCGGCGUGAAUGGUGUAGGAGUCCGUCCCCACGGUAUGAAAGGCGUAGAAGUCCAUCUCCACGGUAUGAACAGCGUAGAAGUCCAUCUCCACGCCAUGAACAACAUAGAAGCUUAUCCCCACGGCAUGCCCAGUCUCCACCUCCACGUGAGAGAUACAGAGAGGAGGCAGGAGCGGUUCCACGUAAGAGUGGAAGAGUAAAGAGGGAGGUGGAAAAGAUUCUACGUGGGAGAGAUGGACAAGAAAUAAUGCGAGAAAGCGAAAUUACACAAUCACUGACCACAGGAGAGCUUAGAGAUUUACGGAGAGAUUAUAUGCGCUUGCCUGGUGAACAAAUCCUCACCUGGCUGGUGCGAUGCUGGGACAAGGGAGCUGAUAGUCACAUAAUUGAAGGUGACGAAGCACGACAACUGGAAUCCAUUGCCCGAGACCCUAAGAUAGAACAAGAAAU
rnacentral:lncRNA from 1 species